rnacentral:tRNA from 1 species
ACCUGGCUAGCUCAAUUGGUAGAGCAUGUGACUCUUGAUCUCAGGGUUGUGAGUUUUCAGUCCCACACUGGGUG